ACUUCUACUAUCUCUCCUUGACAUUAACAUCAAUGAUAUAUUGUGACAACACUAAAUACCACAUACCUUCUCUUUUGAUAAAUAGAACCACAUGACUUUGUCAAUUUAAACCCAGAUUUUUGGAACAAGUUAUAUGUUAAAUUUUAGAAAGAAAAAGACGAUUAUUUCUCUCUCUAACAGUGAGUUCGCCCUAGCCGCCGAGUAACUCGAAUUCUGAUAUUCGUUUACCCUCUCCGGUAGCCGGCACUCCUCGCUGGUGCCGUGAGAGGGUCCCUUUCUCUUUGCUUAGUUUUUGGUGUCUUUGUCUCCGACUUUGUUCGAUCUGGUUUGGUUUGGUGUAGAAGUAGGCUUCUUGGCUUGAAACUUGGCCUUCGAUUGGGGAAUCUUCUGGUUUGUUUGGUGUUUAGAGCUUGGUUGUUGAAGAGGCGGAUGGAGCUGUCAAUUCUUUUGGGCUUUGUGGUUGCAAAGAAGAAGUUAGUACUUUCCGGAUCGGGUAGAUCCACGGUGCGACUCGAAGACUAAUUUUCCUUCUUUGUUUGAUCCCUCCCUAGUGUUGACGCUGCUCAUUUGUAUCUCAUCGUCUGAAGCCGUCAAUUUUGUUUGUUUGGUUGUGAUUGUGUUACCCGCCCAGCCUUUGUCGUUCCUUUCACCCUUGGUCUGCUCACCUUCCUUUGAUUCCCAUUUGGUUCUUUCCCUUUUUAAGCUUGGGCUCUGUUUUGUUGGGAAGAUAUGCUAGUCUUCUAAGUUGGCAGUUGUUGGUUCUUCUCAUGUUUUGUUGUUCGUUUGUUGUUGAUAGCUUCUUGUCUUUUCCUUGUUCUCAUUUGAGUUUGAGUGUGCAAGUGGUUAGGCUUCGCUCCUUGUCUCUGCUUUGCAGAUCUGGUUAGAUCUGAUUGCGUUUUGGAAGGCUUCUAUCUAGACGGUAAAGGACGCUGCAGUCGUCGUCGUCGUAUCCGGAAGCGUGUUCAUGUCUUCGCUUGUCGGGUUAUGAAGGCUUGGUUCUGGUUCUGAGAGAUCAGCUCUCAAAAGGAUAGGAAGUGGCUGAUGUUAUUGUUGGAUUGGCCGUGGCAUCCUUGAUAAAUCUCUUCUGCAGGACUUCAGAGAAGAAUUCCUCUUGCUGAUUAAGACUAGUAUGUUUAGUAAGGUUUAAGCCUAGUUGCCUUUGCUUAUGGUUUAAGGGUUUGUCCUCUCUCGUUUUAGGUUUCAGUUUUUAGCUUUGUUUUAUGUAUUUUGUGUUCAUGUUUAGACUUCGGGGAAUUCUCUUUUUUUCGCCGGCUUAGACUCUGGUGACAUUAUGUUGUCUGCCGGCUUUGUA